AUUGAACGCUGGCGGCAUGCUUUACACAUGCAAGUCGAGCGGCAGCGCGGGGGCAACCCUGGCGGCGAGCGGCGAACGGGUGAGUAAUGCAUCGGAACGUAUCCUCGAGUGGGGGAUAACCCAGCGAAAGUUGGGCUAAUACCGCAUGAGCUCUGAGGAGGAAAGCGGGGGACCUGCGAGGGCCUCGCGCUGGAGGAGCGGCCGAUGUCCGAUUAGCUAGUUGGUGGGGUAAAGGCUUACCAAGGUGACGAUCGGUAGCUGGUCUGAGAGGAUGAUCAGCCACACUGGGACUGAGACACGGCCCAGACUCCUACGGGAGGCAGCAGUGGGGAAUUUUGGACAAUGGGGGCAACCCUGAUCCAGCCAUGCCGCGUGAGUGAAGAAGGCCUUCGGGUUGUAAAGCUCUUUCGGACGGAACGAAAUGGGCGGGACUAAUACUCCUGUCUGAUGACGGUACCGUAAGAAGAAGCACCGGCUAACUACGUG
rnacentral:rRNA from 1 species